GCCGAUGUAGCUCAGUUGGUAGAGCAGCUGAUUUGUAAUCAGCGGGUCGGGGGUUCAAGUCCCUUCAUCGGCU
rnacentral:tRNA from 1 species